UACGUAGGGGGCAAGCGUUGUCCGGAAUUAUUGGGCGUAAAGAGCGCGUAGGCGGUCCGAUAAGUCGGCUGUGAAAGUCAGGGGCUCAACCCUUGGAAGUCGGCCGAUACUGUCGGACUAGAGUCCGGAAGAGGCGAGUGGAAUUCCCGGUGUAGCGGUGAAAUGCGCAGAUAUCGGGAGGAACACCAAUGGCGAAGGCAGCUCGCUGGGACGGUACUGACGCUGAGGCGCGAAAGCGUGGAGAGCAAACAGG
rnacentral:rRNA from 1 species